rnacentral:tRNA from 1 species
GGGGUCAUGGCUCAGUGGUAGAGUGCUCGCCUAGCAUGUGUGAAGCAGAGUUCGAUUCUCAGCACCACA